rnacentral:lncRNA from 1 species
CUCGGCGCCUAGCAGGGCGCGCACCGGGUGCGCGGGAGCUGAGCCCCAAGGCGCGAGCCCAAGUCUGGAGAGUUUGUAACAACGGCUGAGGACCCGCGUGACCCGGGCAGGCAGUGGAGGGGACUGACGGCGACGGCUGUGGCCCAGGGCAUGACAUCUCCCACCACACCCCACACCACGACACCCCCCAAAGAAAGGUGCUUCUUUUGAAAGACUGUACAAGGGAGCAAAACCUCGACUCCUCUUCCGGAGGUCCCUUCAGGAAGAUUAGGAGCCCCUGGACUCGGCGACAGGACAGGAAAGGAUCGCAACAGCGUCUUUCAAAUGCCAUUUCUGAUCAGCUUUUGGGUGCCUGACACAACAUCUGGGCAGAUGGAGAGGUCAAGGCAACAGAUAAAAAUGCUAUGAGCCCGAGUAAGGGCAGCGAGGAUUCAGCCAUCUGCACUUUUUUCUUCUCUUGUCUCCCUCCCUCCCUGCCUGUCUCUCCCCUACCCCCACCCUGUUUUCGUCCUCCUGAGUUUGGGAGACCAGCAGGCUUUCUGUUAGACCCACCCUCCCCCACCCCAUUCCUCAUCCCAUCUCAAAAAGAGAGCGAAUGAACCACAUUCUAAGCUGUUACCCGUGAAACUUAGACAAGUUUGGAAAUUAAACAAGUCGCGUUUGCACUCGAGGCCGCGGGAAUCCAAAAGGGAAACAAACAAAACCAGCCCUAAAAAAUCUAUUCCAAGUUAAGAUUUCAAAGAGGAAUCUAAAACGAGUAUUUGUUUAUGGCAAUGUCGUGUUUUUUUUAAUGUUUGAAAAAUAUGUAUCACUCAAGCUUGCAUCAUCGGUAUUCAAUGUGAUUCACCCAAGCGCUUCAAAAGAUGGUUUCUGUUAGUGUUGCAAAAGCACUUCUAAUUUUGGUUGCCAUGGUAACGGAAGUAGUCGCCCUGCGCUGUUGAGACGCUGCCUGGCUCGAACCAGGAACUGUUUUUGAAGAGAUCUCUUCAUGUCCCCUCAUGUCACCAUGAGUUUGCAAUUUGUGAAACGGAUCUUCCCUCUCAGACAACUGACGGUAAACGCUGCCCUCCAGCCCAUCAGCCCUGCUGGCCCAGCUCUCUUCCCACAGCUCAGUGUGCUGGAGGAGGCAGGAGGAGAGUGUUUGAUGUUAAAGGAACCCUGGCCUGCGACCAGCUCUCUCUCCCCAUUUAGCAUUUAAAUUUGGAAUCCUAAUUAGCUUUCUAAUUAAGAGAAGGGAGAAUGUGGGUGGGGGUCCCAGAAAGAGGCUAAUGGGGAAAAAGCUCAGUUCAGCUCGCCAUGGACUGGUGUUUUGUGUGCUGUUGAAUUUGCCUAGCAAAGCCCUCAAGGGUUUAUUUUUGGCUUGACCGCUGUUAAGUGGUAAGCCUGGAAAAACCUUCAGAGAGGCCUCCUUCUGUGUUAGGAAAAAAUGUGGCUUGGAUACUUAGUUUGAGGUGUGUGCUUUUUUCUAAUAACUAAACUGCAUUUAAAAUAAAGGCAGGUUUGUAUGAAAUCUAAAUUUCCCAGUAAUAACUACAGAUAGGUCAUAGAGCCCUGUAUGCACUUGGUUUAGCCUUGGUUUUCAGUUAAGAAAGUGGCGCCAUUCAAAUACUUUCAUUAGCAAAUGUUGGUGUCUUUAAAGAACCAUAGUUCUUUACACAUCCACCAUUCCUGAGCAUGAAUCCUAUAAAUCAAUUUUACACAUUGAUAGCAUAUGAUUGGAAAAUUUGAAAGUCCCUAGACUUACAGUUUUAAAAGAUGAAAGAUUUUUGUCUCAGUAGGUUAAUGUUUUCAGCCAAAUAUAUUGUUUCAUGCUGAGAAACUUAAAAAAUUAAAAUAUAAGUGUGAAAUCCAAUUUCAUUCUUUGACUCUCCUUACAGUGUUU